GUCAAUGUAGGGUAGUGGUUAGAGUACUAGACUACCACUCUGGAGACCAGAGUUCAAAUCCCAGCACAGCCA